GUUCUGGUUGAGGAACCAGUGAACAACCAGCGGUUGAGAGGGAAUCUGACACCUAGGUUGGGACUAGAAUAGGCCCACAUGGAGCAAGGGAGGCAAAAGAGAAAUCUGAGCUGAAAAUGGAAGGGUAUCGCUCUCUCUUACCCUGUUUGGGAGGCCUCCAGCUUCCCCAGAUCAUGCUCUGUUUUGCCAUGUGGAUGAAUUACCUCUCUUUGUGCCUGCUUCCUGGACCCUCCUCUACCCACAGCUGCUGGAUCUGAUCUUCAUCCAUCUUCACCCAGGCCAAGGACCCCAGGGAGCUCUGGGGAGGCUCCAGUCCACAGUAGUAAUGAGAAGCAGGACUUCCAGGAGCCCUGCUGCCGAUGAGAGUCAGGGAACACGAUCACCUAAUCGUUGUGAAAUUACCAGCAGAUAAACUGGUUGACUCUUCAGAGAGAAAAUUGAGGCUAUCAGAAGUGAAGAGAAAAAUUGGAGGCAUAUGGAAGACAAGGAGACCAAUCAAAAAGCUGUUGUCUUCUUCCAGGCCAGAGACAUUUGAGACCUGAAUGAAGAAUGUAUUUAGUGAGCAUACAGAUUGCAAAAUCAAUAUGAGUUGGAGCAAUUCUGGAAUGGGUCCCCCCAUAAAACAUGACUGUGCAUUCCUAGAAAAGCUCUUUGAGAUCAUCUGCAUUUUGUAGAUGGAAAGUUGAGGCCCAGAGAGGAGACAAGGAAGUGCACAGAGAGUGUCAGCUUCAGAGCUCACUCCAUCUCCUGACCCAGAUGGGAUCUGAUGCCCUUACCUGUCUUUUUGGCAGCCUCUCAUGGGAGCUAUAACACAGGCCCACACCACCACAUCACUGGACAUUCCCGCCUGUGAGAUGCAGCCGUUUCUCUUUCCCAGCAAGUCAUUCUGGAAUAUCUCGCAGUACAUGGACAAGAUCCAGCCAUCUAGGAAGGCUGAUGGGAGGAAGCCCUAACAAUGAACAAAUGUGCAGGGAAAACCCCCAGUGAUUCCCCAAAUGAGCUGAAGCAAAGCAAACCUUCCGGACCUCAUGCUUCACUGAGCAGGCAGAUUGUCUGAGCAGGACCAGGUGAUGAGGAAAAGCAGGAUGGUAUAACUUGCAAUUCCUGAGACAAGCUUUGAAGCAGAAGCCCAGGUGCAGUCAUUACAUUACUAGGAAUAUCACUUACCUUCCUCUGUGUGCCAGCAGCCCAUGAGGGGAAAGAAGGAGCACUGUGCAGAAGUGCCCUCUAACUAGAGACCUAUAGCUUGUUUUUGGGUUUUUUUGUUUGUUUGUUUUUGUUUUGUUUUAUGAGAUGGAGUCUCGCUCUGUCACCCAGGCUGGAGUGCAAUGAUGCAAUCACGUCUCACUGCAACCUCCACCUCCCGGGUUCAAGUGAUUCUCCUCCCUCAGCCUCCUGAGUAGCUGGGAUUACAGGUGCCCACCACCAUGCCUGGCUAAGUUUUGUAUUUUUAGUAGAGAUGGGGUUUCGCCAUGUUGGCCAGGCUGGUCUCGAACUCCUGACCUCAGGGGAUCCACCUGCCUCGGCCUCCCAAAGUGCUGGGAUUACAGGCAUGAGCCACUGCACCCUGCCACAUGUGGCUUGUUAAAGAUCUUACUUUGUGUUAACAAUGACCACACCAAUUCCAGCAUCCUGCACAGACUCAUAUUGACCUCCUGUGGCCACCUGUCCAGCAUCCCAGGAGGCUCUGCUGGCUAGCUUGGAUUUCCUCCUAGCUAACCCUUUAGCUCUCCGAUCCUCAGCAGACCGAGGCCUGAUAUCAUCCUUACCUCCCAGUUAGCUCCUCUCCUCUGAAGGGGGAAGCCAGGAGCAGGGAGAGCACAGUCUACGGGCCAAUGCCGGGGCACCCCUUCCCAAUUAGCCAGAGCCUCAUCCCUGAAAACAUCUUCAGCCUGCUGGCGAGUGCAGCCUGGUGUGAUGCUAUACCCAUAUUCCCUAGCUUGUAUGGUUACCUGACUGCCAAGAGCCAGCAUCCUAUUGGUCUAGUGAGUCUACACCAGGUGGCCAAGUGAGUGGCAAAGAACAGAGAAAAAAUAUGAAGCUACAGUAAAAAUGGUCCAGACAACUUUGAAGACAGACAGGAAACAGGGCAUCCAGAGGACUUUCAGAUGCAGGGUAUAAGCACAUGCAGCAGCAUUAUAUGUAUCGUCAGUGCCAGCUAAUUCAGGCGAGGCAGUUUCUUCUCAAGAGGCUAAGAAAGGAAGACAAUUACCUUUCUGGUGUUCUCCUCACAGCUUACCACCAAGAGCCUUCUGGGGAUCUGGCAUGUUGAAAAUGCUCUAGCCGGUUCUACCUCCCUACCUUUGGUCAUUUUCUUUUCCUGCCUGGCAUCCUCUCUGACCUUUCCCUUAACUCUUAUCCAUAGUUAAUGUUCCAGCUCAUUUUACACCUUCUUUCCCACAAAGCUUUCUGCCUUAGUUUGAGUUACUCAGAAAACAAAAGCCUGAGUCAGAGACCCAGAUGCUGGUCAUUUACUUGAGAACAAUCCCAAGAAGCAGAAGUGAGAGUGUGUGAUGAGUGAAAUGGGAAAGGAAAAACCAAUAUAAGGUAUAUUGUCAAGGUCGCCAUUGCCAGGACCUCCUGAGAAAUGUAAGGCAUGCCUUCCACAAUUAUCCACCAGUUGUAUAGGAAACUGGAGCAUUUAUCCAUAGGCUUCUUCACUCCUUGUUCCCCUUCCCUUGUUCCUGAAUGAGGGUUGCCCCCACAGUACUGUCUUAGUUUAUUUAGGUUGUCCUAGAAGCAGAGCCUGAGACAAGGAUUCGAGUGAAAGUCAUUUAAGAGGUGAUGCAAGGAAGCACCUGUAGGAGAGUGGGAACUUGAUAGUGUGAAGGAAGGAAGCCAAUCAAGGGUGUGAGAGCAGGCAAGUUACCACUAUAGGCAGCUGGAGCUGAAUCCUGCUGGGGAGCUGCCAGUGUAGAAACAUGCCUCAGAUUUAUCCCUGCAGAGAGAUUGGCUGGAGGGACUUUAUCCACCACUUUCAUAAGUCAUCACUUGAGGUUUAUGCCAUGGGUUGGGGGUGGGAGUUUAAUUUCCUGGCACUUCCUUCAUUCCCAGCAUAUAGACAGAGUGGGGUCUUGCUGUCAGAGAGAGCCUGCAGGCAAAGAUUUACAGCUACUCACCCAUUGGAAGUAAAGUGUAUAGACUUUACUCUCUACAAACUAGAAAACAUAGGUGUAACAUCUCCCCCAGGUUGUGCCCUCCAGCAGGCUGAAGAUGCUCCCAGGGUCCUGAAGGAAGAAGCUGAAAGACAGGGACUCUGGCAGAGGGAAGUGAUUCUGAACUGCCUACAACUGUAGUUGAAGUUAGAGGUGGGUGAAGGGCAAGGGCAAAUGGAGCACCAAGGGUGUGUCUAACACCAUCACUGACUAUGCCAAGCCACACUGAUUGUUUCUGUCCUUCCUCUGAGCACCCUUUUUUUAGUAUCCUUAGACAUGCAUAGGUUGCCCUAUAUAUACAUGUAAGUUGAGCACUUGAAAGUAGAAUGCAAACUUUUGGGAUUAAGGCUCUGUGACUUAGCCUUUUUAGCACUUAGCAGAAAGUUUUGUAUCCAACUAUAACUGUCUACUUUUGCAAGAAAAUUGAAGCAUUCAUCAUGAUCUCCCUCCCUCCCCUA
rnacentral:lncRNA from 1 species